UUCCUACGGGGGGCAGCAGUGAGGAAUAUUGGUCAAUGGGCGAGAGCCUGAACCAGCCAUGUCGCGUGAAGGAAGAAUGUCCUAUGGAUUGUAAACUUCUUUUAUACAGGAAUAAAGUGUACUACGUGUAGUAUUUUGUAUGUACUGUAUGAAUAAGGAUCGGCUAACUCCGUGCCAGCAGCCGCGGUAAUACGGAGGAUCCGAGCGUUAUCCGGAUUUAUUGGGUUUAAAGGGUGCGUAGGCGGAAUAGCAAGUCAGUGGUGAAAGUUUGCAGCUUAACUGUAAAAUUGCCAUUGAAACUGCUGUUCUUGAGUACAGUAGAGGUAGGCGGAAUGUGUAGUGUAGCGGUGAAAUGCAUAGAUAUUACACAGAACACCGAUUGCGUAGGCAGCUUACUGGAGUGUAACUGACGCUGAGGCACGAUAGCGUGGGGAUCAAACAGGAUUAGAUACCCUAGUAGUC
rnacentral:rRNA from 1 species